GUUCAACCCCCUCCCCUACUA
rnacentral:tRNA from 18 species